UACGGGGGGGGCAAGCGUUGUUCGGAAUUACUGGGCGUAAAGGGCUCGUAGGUGGCCAACUAAGUCAGACGUGAAAUCCCUCGGCUUAACCGGGGAACUGCGUCUGAUACUGGAUGGCUUGAGUUUGGGAGAGGGAUGCGGAAUUCCUGGUGUAGCGGUGAAAUGCGUAGAUAUCAGGAGGAACACCUGCGGUGUAGACGGCUUUCUGGACCAUUGUUGACGCUGAGACACGAAAGCGUGGGUAGCAAACAGG
rnacentral:rRNA from 1 species